AGUGAACGCUGGCGGUAGGCCUAACACAUGCAAGUCGAACGGCAGCACAGUAAGAGCUUGCUCUUACGGGUGGCGAGUGGCGGACGGGUGAGGAAUACAUCGGAAUCUACUUUUUCGUGGGGGAUAACGUAGGGAAACUUACGCUAAUACCGCAUACGACCUACGGGUGAAAGCAGGGGAUCUUCGGACCUUGCGCGAUUGAAUGAGCCGAUGUCGGAUUAGCUAGUUGGCGGGGUAAAGGCCCACCAAGGCGACGAUCCGUAGCUGGUCUGAGAGGAUGAUCCGCCACAUGGGAAGUGAGAGGCGGUGGAGACGCCGACGGGAGGCAGCAGUGGGGACUCUUGGGGGAGGGGGGCGAGGGGGAUCUAGGCAUCUGGGGGGAGUGAAGAAGGCGUGAGGGUUCGAAAGUCAUUUAGUUCGAAAAGAAAAAAAGCCGGUUAAUACCCCGUUGUUAUGACGGUACCCAAAGAAUAAGCACCGGCUAACUCCGUG
rnacentral:rRNA from 1 species